CAGUAGCCGCGGUAAUACGAAGGGUGCAAGCGUUACUCGGAAUUACUGGGCGUAAAGCGUGCGUAGGUGGUGGUUUAAGUCCGUUGUGAAAGCCCUGGGCUCAACCUGGGAAUUGCAGUGGAUACUGGGUCACUAGAGUGUGGUAGAGGAUAGUGGAAUUUCCGGUGUAGCAGUGAAAUGCGUAGAGAUCGGAAGGAACAUCUGUGGCGAAGGCGACUAUCUGGGCCAACACUGACACUGAGGCACGAAAGCGUGGGGAGCAAACAGGAUUAGAUACCCCGGUAGUCCCUGUCCUUAUACA
rnacentral:rRNA from 1 species